AAACUGUGAGGCUAGAAUCUGGUGGAGGGUGAUGGAAUUCCCGGUGUAACGGUGAAAUGCGUAGAGAUCGGGAAGAACACCAAAGGCGAAGGCAGUCAGCCAUGCCGAGAUUGACGCUGAGGCGCGAAAGCGUGGGUAGCAAACAGGAUUAGAUACCCUGGUAGUCCACGCUGUAAACGAUGUACACUAGGAGUUGGGGGGAUGCCCUUAGCUCCGCAGUUAACGCGAUAAGUGUACCGCCUGGGGACUACGACCGCAAGGUUGAAACUCAAAGAAAUUGACGGGGGCCCGCACAAGCGGUGGAGCAUGUGGUUUAAUUCGAUGAUAAGCGAAGAACCUUACCAGGGCUUGACAUGGUAAUGCCAUCGUUAGAAAUAAUGAGUUCCCGUAAGGGACGUUAUCACAGGUGUUGCAUGGUUGUCGUCAGCUCGUGCCGUGAGGUGUUGGGUUAAGUCCCGCAACGAGCGCAACCCCUGUUGCCAGUUGCUACAUUCAGUUGGGCACUCUGGCGAGACUGCCGGCGACAAGUCGGAGGAAGGAGGGGACGACGUCAAAUCAUCAUGGCCUUUAUGUCCUGGGCUACACACAUGCUACAAUGGUCGGUACAAACGGUAGCGAAGCCGCGAGGUGGAGCGAAUCUGAGAAAACCGGCCUCAAUAUGGAUUGCAGUCUGCAACUCGACUGCAUGAAACCGGAAUCGCUAGUAAUCGCAGGUCAGCAAUACUGCGGUGAAUACGUUCUCGGGCCUUGUACACACCGCCCGUCACACCACUCGAGUUGGCUUCUCUUGAAGCCGGUUACCCCAACCGUAAGGAGGGGGCCGGUAAGGGAGGG
rnacentral:rRNA from 1 species